AGAGUUUGUUCCUGGCUCAGGAUGAACGCUAGCUACAGGCUUAACACAUGCAAGUCGAGGGGCAGCAUGAAGGAAGCUUGCUUCCUUUGAUGGCGACCGGCGCACGGGUGAGUAACACGUAUCCAACCUGCCCCUGGGUAGGGAAUAGCCCGGUGAAAACCGGAUUAAUGCCCUAUGCUGUCCAGAGAGGACAUCUGACCUGGACGAAAGAUUCAUCGCUAUGGGAUGGGGAUGCGUCUGAUUAGGUUGCAGGCGGGGUAACGGCCCACCUGGCCGACGAUCAGUAGGGGUUCUGAGAGGAAGGUCCCCCACAUUGGAACUGAGACACGGUCCAAACUCC
rnacentral:rRNA from 1 species